rnacentral:rRNA from 1 species
UACAGAGGUCUCAAGCGUUGUUCGGAUUCAUUGGGCGUAAAGCGUGCGCAGGCGGUUCGUUGUGUCGGUGGUGAAAUCCCCGGGCUUAACCUGGGAAUGGCCAUGGAAACUGGCGAACUGGAGUGUGGCAGAGGGGGGUGGAAUUCCGCGUGUAGCAGUGAAAUGCGUAGAGAUGCGGAGGAACACCGAUGGCGAAGGCAGCCCCCUGGGCUAGCACUGACGCUCAGGCACGAAAGCGUGGGGAGCAAACAGG